rnacentral:rRNA from 1 species
CCGCGAAUUCGCCCUUAGAGUUUGAUCCUGGCUCAGAUUGAACGCUGGCGGCAGGCCUAACACAUGCAAGUCGAGCGGAAACGACUUAACUGAACCUUCGGGGAACGUUAAGGGCGUCGAGCGGCGGACGGGUGAGUAAUGCCUGGGAAUAUGCCUUAGUGUGGGGGAUAACUAUUGGAAACGAUAGCUAAUACCGCAUAAUGUCUUCGGACCAAAGAGGGGGACCUUCGGGCCUCUCGCGCUAAGAUUAGCCCAGGUGAGAUUAGCUAGUUGGUGAGGUAAGAGCUCACCAAGGCGACGAUCUCUAGCUGGUCUGAGAGGAUGAUCAGCCACACUGGAACUGAGACACGGUCCAGACUCCUACGGGAGGCAGCAGUGGGGAAUAUUGCACAAUGGGCGAAAGCCUGAUGCAGCCAUGCCGCGUGUAUGAAGAAGGCCUUCGGGUUGUAAAGUACUUUCAGUAGGGAGGAAGGUUCAUGCGUUAAUAGCGCAUGGAUUUGACGUUACCUACAGAAGAAGCACCGGCUAACUCCGUGCCAGCAGCCGCGGUAAUACGGAGGGUGCGAGCGUUAAUCGGAAUUACUGGGCGUAAAGCGCAUGCAGGUGGUUCAUUAAGUCAGAUGUGAAAGCCCGGGGCUCAACCUCGGAACCGCAUUUGAAACUGGUGAACUAGAGUGCUGUAGAGGGGGGUAGAAUUUCAGGUGUAGCGGUGAAAUGCGUAGAGAUCUGAAGGAAUACCAGUGGCGAAGGCGGCCCCCUGGACAGACACUGACACUCAGAUGCGAAAGCGUGGGGAGCAAACAGGA